GUGCACAUUUCAUUGAUCCACUUACUUCUGUUUGUGUGAGCAGUUUAUUUCUUUAUGUGCUAUAUAAACAGAUGAAGGUUAAUUAACAGUAUAGCCAAGUAGUUAUGUUACCAGUCUCUUUCAGACAGUU
ensembl:snoRNA